rnacentral:rRNA from 1 species
AGAGUUUGAUCAUGGCUCAGGAUGAACGCUAGCGGGAGGCCUAACACAUGCAAGCCGAGCGGUAGAGAUUCUUCGGAAUCUUGAGAGCGGCGUACGGGUGCGGAACACGUGUGCAACCUACCUUUAUCUGGAGGAUAGCCUUUCGAAAGGAAGAUUAAUACUCCAUAAUAUAUUGAUUGGCAUCAAUUGAUAUCGAAAGCUCCGGCGGAUAGAGAUGGGCACGCGCAAGAUUAGUUAGUUGGUGAGGUAACGGCUCACCAAGACGAUGAUCUUUAGGGGCCUGAGAGGGUGAUCCCCCACACUGGUACUGAGACACGGACCAGACUCCUACGGGAGGCAGCAGUGAGGAAUAUUGGUCAAUGGGUGCAAGCCUGAACCAGCCAUCCCGCGUGAAGGACGACUGCCCUAUGGGUUGUAAACUUCUUUUGUAUAGGGAUAAACCUACCCUCGUGAGGGUAGCUGAAGGUACUAUACGAAUAAGCACCGGCUAACUCCGUG